CAGAAUUCGGCUUAGAGUUUGAUCCUGGCUCAGGACGAACGAUGGCGGCGUGCCUAACACAUGCAAGUCGAGCGGGUAGACGCCUUCGGGUGUCUUCUAGCGGCGGACGGGUGAGUAACGCGUGAGCAACCUUUCCUUCACAGGGGUAUAACGCAGCGAAAGAUGUGCUAAUACCGCAUGAGACCACAGAGCUACAUAGCUAAGGGGUCAAAGGAGAAAUCCGGUGAAGGGUGGGCUCGCGUCUGAUUAGCUAGUUGGUGAGGUAACGGCUCACCAAGGCGACGACGGGUAGCUGGUCUGAGAGGAUGGUCAGCCGGACUGGGACUGAGACACGGCCCAGACUCCUACGGGGGGCAGCAAUUAGGAAUCUUGCGCAAUGGGGGAAACCCUGACGCAGCGACGCCGCGUGAAGGAUGACGGCCUUCGGGUUGUAAACUUCUUUUAAGAGGGAAGAAGCAAGUGACGGUACCUCUUAAUAAGCCCCGGCUACUCGCUCUAC
rnacentral:rRNA from 1 species